rnacentral:rRNA from 1 species
UACGUAGGGGGCAAGCGUUGUUCGGAAUCACUGGGCGUAAAGCGCACGUAGGCGGAUUCCUAAGUCGGGGGUGAAAUCCUGGAGCUUAACUCCAGAACUGCCUUCGAUACUGGGAAUCUUGAGUCCGGAAGAGGUGAGUGGAACUGCGAGUGUAGAGGUGAAAUUCGUAGAUAUUCGCAAGAACACCAGUGGCGAAGGCGGCUCACUGGUCCGGUACUGACGCUGAGGUGCGAAAGCGUGGGGAGCAAACAGG